ACUGCCUAUUUAGUGGAGUGGAGCCCACAUUUUAACAGUACUCAGCGUGUUGCAAUUGGGCCUCAGGCUUCUAGAAAAUACACCUAUUAUAUCAGCAUGUUCUCCUUGCAAGUAUUGUCAGGUGUCAGGUUAAGUGUUUGAGUGCUCCACUGCCCUAAAAAUAAAUUUAUGGUGUAUUUCUCAAAAACGUAUCCCACACGUGUAAAUGUCACCUUAGUUUCUGAACAUGCGCUAGUUGGACUGCAUCCGACUGUUCUGGGGUCUUCCCUGGAAGGCUGCUUUUUAUGGAGCUGGGAGGGGCUCUAGGUGCAUGGAGAUUCAUAGGGGUGGGAAUCAGACGAUCGAAGUUCUGGACAGCUUUGCUGAGAAAACAGUCAUUUGUUUCCUCUGGGUUACAUUCUUGUCACCUGCUUUUCCGUGAGAUGGUCGGACAGAGGCAGAGAGAGAGCUGAUUAGGCGAGUCGGCUGUAUCAUUGUUAAUACCUUUGAGAGGCCUGGUAAAUUGGGCGUUGGCUAAGGUCUGUGGUGCUGACUGCAGAAAUCGUUUAGGUCGUGCAGAGCAAGCUUCACGAACAGCAUUUCACUGCAGAGAGAUGGCGAGAACUGACGGUCUUAUUAAGAGCACUGCGCUGAUAAGAUUGUUGCGCCAUAUGGGCAGGAAGUACAGAGCGGACGUCGUGGCAGCUGGUGGGGCAGCCCUCACUCCAGGACGCGGUGACCGAGUGGACGCAGGAGUGCGUGGAAGGCCGGCGCAUAAGACAACUCCUGGGUCUGACAACUGGGUGUGAUAGUUACAGAAGCAGCAAUUUUUUUCUUGAAAGAUGGUAAAUUUCCACUUCCCUGUUGUUUGGGCUAGAGUCAUAUUUUAAAAAAAGCAUUUGGGGAAACAUGUCAUAACUUUUUAUGCCUCUAGGCUUUUGCGUGCACCUUUUUCUCUACCGGAAACAUUCCUUCUGCCCUUCCCCACUUGGCCAGUACUUAAUAUAAAGCCAAAUGUCAUAAUAGCAUUUAUGUGUCACCAGCAUUGUGGUAAAUGCCUUUCACUUGUUAUUUCAUUUAAUCCCCGCAAUAACCCUGUGAUGAAGGGCUCUCAUUUUGUAGAUUUUGAGAAAAUGUACAAGGUUUAGAGAGGUUAAGUAACUUCUUCAAGGCUAUCCAGCUAGUAAGCUGGUGGAGCUGGGCUUCAAACCCAAGAAAUCCGACUCAAGGACUGUGUGCUUAAUCACUAAAGCACAUUGCCUCGUCAAGACUCAGCUUAACUGUUGCCUCUUUCAGGAAGCCUUCCUUGUUGUCCUUACUUAUGGGUACAUCUCCCGCGUUCCCACAAAGCCCAUGAACACACCCGUCUCCAUCGUGGCGCUUGCCAUGCCCUAUUGGACGCAUUUGUUUAUUUGCUGCUUCCCUUUCUUUCUGAAACUGUGACCUCCUUGGAGGCGGGAAGGAUUCCUUCCAUCUGAUCCCUCAGUCCAGAGCACAGUGCCUGGUAUUCAGUAGGAGCUUCGUAAAUGUCUGUUGAAUAGAUAGAUGCAUGGGAACACAUGGUCUAUUAUUGGUGGGACGUUGGCUAGGGCCAGAAAAUAGAGGGUACGGGCUAAACCCGAACAGGUAGAUUGGGGUCAGAUAGUGAAGAUUGUUAUUUGCUGUGUGUAGGAAUUUGCAAGGUGCACUCACAAAUGCUUUGUCCUUUGCACAUCCACGGAUAUGAUACUCUUCAAUGCUAUAACUCUGUAAUGGGGACACUAACCAGUGGUGUGUGCGUAUGUGCUUAACAGCUGCCCCCUCCCUGCCCCUCAAAGCCCUGAUUUGUUGUAUUUUUUGAUUUCCAUGUGUACAGGCUCCCAUCGGGGUCGGUUUCAAACUGCCAAUGUGACGUCACUGGACAUGGAAGUGGGAAGGGAUGCGCAGUACCGUCUCAUCAUAAAGUGUUUCCACGCCACAGGGACAACAGACGUAGGUGACCUCAAGAGCACAGGCAAGAGCACAAUGUACUGAAAUCUUAGGAAUUGGUGAGUUUUGAGUAUUUAUCUUUGCUUUUAUUAUGUCUUUAAUUGUAAGUUUAUAUAACUUAAUUUUUAUUAAGGGCUCUGUUUAAAGCUGGCUUGCAAAAUUCCUUCAAUUUUAACAAUUAGCUCUCCCGAGCUGACACGAGCUGGCUCCAGACCCCACUGUCACUAGUCCUUUUGCCUGCGGAUUCGCUCGGGCCCAGCUCCUGGACUGGUCUCCUUCCCGAGCGGGCCGCUGUGGAAGCUCUGGGCAUCGGCUCCUUGAGGGAGCAAGAGCUCUGUGAUCUGCUCUGUUCUUUGUGAUCCAGGUCCUCGGUCCUCGAGCUCUCGCCUUGUUUUGCAAUAACAAACACAUCCUACAGAUACUGCCACCCUUUCAGAGACUGCUUUUUGUCUUGAAUUCUAGUUUCCCUCUGACGUCUCCUUGAGUCAGGGUUGACCAGGUUGUGCAAGUUCUGUGCUGCACGAUGGGGCACUGUUCACAUGGACUGCUUGCUGGGCUGUCACACGCUACAGACUGUCUAGCGUGUACCUGCCCACUGCUGCUUGGACAUGUGCCCCCGAUUCGGACUCGCUUUGACUCUGUGGUAUGAUUCUAGCCUGCAUAUGCUCUUAGCCUUGGGUCUGCCUUUGGACUCAAGAUUCUGUCUUCCUUUUGCUCUGGCAGCUGAAACCUGGCGUUGUUCCAGGAUCUGAUUACAGGGCUGGCUGGCUUCCUGGCUUCGCUUAGCCAACCACGACCCAAAUCUAAAAGCUGAUAAGUCGCAAUAUGAGAAAGUGAGCUGAUUUGAACAGAAAUUACUAUUUUAUUGCUGUCAAUAUCUAUGAAUAGUUGCAAAGACCAUGGUUGCCUUACUCCUAAACAAUUCCCGGGGACUCGAGGCACCUGAGAGGUAGGAAGGAUGCCUAGGUUAAAAUAAAGGAGCAAAUGAAUUAUACA
rnacentral:lncRNA from 1 species